UCUUCAUUUUUCACACUCUCUCACCGGUCAGAGAGGCGAGAGAGUGUGCGAAAUGAAGAGA
rfam:Pristionchus pacificus strain PS312 contig7995, whole genome shotgun sequence.